rnacentral:rRNA from 1 species
AACGAACGCUAGCGGCGUGCUUAACACAUGCAAGUCGUACGAGAAAUCCCGGGCAACUGGGAGAGUAAAGUGGCGCACGGGUGAGUAACGCGUGGGUAAUCUACCUUGGAGUUCGGAGUAACACCUCGAAAGGGGUGCUAAUACCGGAUAUGGUCCUCGGGGUCUCGGCCCCGGGGAUGAAAGAUGGCUGAGGCUUGCAAGCUAUUGCUCCAAGAUGAGCCCGCGUACCAUUAGCUAGUUGGUGGGGUAACGGCCCACCAAGGCAAUGAUGGUUAGCUGGUCUGAGAGGAUGACCAGCCACACUGGAACUGAGAUACGGUCCAGACUCCUACGGGAGGCAGCAGUGAGGAAUCUUGCGCAAUGGGGGCAACCCUGACGCAGCAACGCCGCGUGAGUGAUGAAGGCCUUCGGGUCGUAAAGCUCUGUCAGGCGGGAAGAAAGUUUUCAGGGUGAACAAUCCUGGAGAUUGACGGUACCGCCAGAGGAAACACCGGCUAACUCCGUGCCAGCCGCCGCCGUAAUAC